CCUACGUGUGGCAGCAGUGAGGAAUAUUGGUCAAUGGACGCAAGUCUGAACCAGCCAUGCCGCGUGCAGGAAGACGGCUCUAUGAAUUGUAAACUUCUUUUGUACGAGGGUAAACGCAGCUACGUGUAUCUGUCUGAAAGUAUCGUACGAAUAAGCAUCGGCUAACUCCGUGCCAGCAGCCGCGGUAAUACGGAGGAUUCAAGCGUUAUCCGGAUUUAUUGGGUUUAAAGGGUGCGUAGGCGGUCGGAUAAGUUAGAGGUGAAAUCCAGAGGCUCAACUUCGGACUUGCCUCUGAUACUGUUCGUCUAGAGAGUAGUGGCGAUAGGCGGAAUGUAUGGUGUAGCGGUGAAAUGCUUAGAGAUCAUACAGAACACCGAUUGCGAAGGCAGCUUACCAAGCUACUUCUGACGUUGAGGCACGAAAGCGUGGGGAGCAAACAGGAUUAGAUACCCGAGUAGUC
rnacentral:rRNA from 1 species